CAGUCGCCGCGGUAAGACAGAGGAUGCAAGCGUUAUCCGGAAUGAUUGGGCGUAAAGCGUCUGUAGGUGGCUUUUCAAGUCCGCCGUCAAAUCCCAGGGCUCAACCCUGGACAGGCGGUGGAAACUACCAAGCUGGAGUACGAUAGGGGCAGAGGGAAUUUCCGGUGGAGCGGUGAAAUGCGUUGAGAUUGGAAAGAACACCAACGGUGAAAGCACUCUGCUGGGCCGACACUGACACUGAGAGACGAAAGCUAGGGGAGCAAAUGGGAUUAGAGACCCCUGUAGUCCCUGUCUCUUAUAC
rnacentral:rRNA from 1 species